rnacentral:rRNA from 1 species
UAUGCUUUGGGGAGCUGUAAGUAAGCUUUGAUCCAGAGAUUUCCGAAUGGGGAAACCCAGCACGAGUUAUGUCGUGUUAUCUGCAUGUGAAUACAUAGCAUGCAAGAAGGCAGACCCGGAGAACUGAAACAUCUUAGUACCCGGAGGAAGAGAAAGAAAAAUCGAUUCCCUGAGUAGCGGCGAGCGAAACGGGAAGAGCCCAAACCAAUAAGCUUGCUUAUUGGGGUUGUAGGACACUCUGUACGGAGUUACAAAAGAAUUUGUUAGACGAAUAACCUGGAAAGGUUAAUCAGAGAAGGUAAUAAUCCUGUAGUCGAAAACGAAUUCUCUCUUGAGUGGAUCCUGAGUACGACGGAGCACGUGAAAUUCCGUCGGAAUCUGGGAGGACCAUCUCCUAAGGCUAAAUACUCUCUAGUGACCGAUAGUGAACCAGUACCGUGAGGGAAAGGUGAAAAGUACCCCGGAAGGGGAGUGAAAGAGAACUUGAAACCGUGUGCUUACAAGUAGUCAGAGCCCGUUAAUGGGUGAUGGCGUGCCUUUUGUAGAAUGAACCGGCGAGUUACGAUCUGAUGCAAGGUUAAGCAGAAAAUGUGGAGCCGUAGCGAAAGCGAGUCUGAAUAGGGCGAAUGAGUAUUUGGUCGUAGACCCGAAACCAGGUGAUCUACCCUUGGUCAGGUUGAAGUUCAGGUAACACUGAAUGGAGGACCGAACCGACUUACGUUGAAAAGUGAGCGGAUGAACUGAGGGUAGCGGAGAAAUUCCAAUCGAACUUGGAGAUAGCUGGUUCUCUCCGAAAUAGCUUUAGGGCUAGCCUCAAGUGAUGAUUAUUGGAGGUAGAGCACUGUUUGGACGAGGGGCCCCUCUCGGGUUACCGAAUUCAGACAAACUCCGAAUGCCAAAUAAUUUAACUUGGGAGUCAGAAUGUGGGUGAUAAGGUCCAUAUUCGAAAGGGAAACAGCCCAGACCACCAGCUAAGGUCCCAAAAUAUAUGUUAAGUGGAAAAGGAUGUGGCGUUGCCCAGACAACUAGGAUGUUGGCUUAGAAGCAGCCAUCAUUUAAAGAGUGCGUAAUAGCUCACUAGUCGAGUGACACUGCGCCGAAAAUGUACCGGGGCUAAACAUAU